UACGAAGGGGGCUAGCGUUGUUCGGAAUUACUGGGCGUAAAGCGUUUGUAGGCGGUUGAACAAGUCAGUGGUGAAAGCCCAGGGCUUAACCCUGGAAUUGCCAUUGAAACUGUUCAGCUAGAGAGUGUUAGAGGAAAGUGGAAUUCCUAGUGUAGGAGUGAAAUCCGUAGAGAUUAGGAGGAAUAUCGAUGGCGAAGGCAGCUUUCUGGGACAUUUCUGACGCUGAGAAACGAAAGCGUGGGUAGCAAAC
rnacentral:rRNA from 1 species